rnacentral:rRNA from 1 species
UUCUGGGAGGAUUGACAGAUUGAGAGCUCUUUCUUGAUUCGGUGGAUGGUGGUGCAUGUCCGUUCUUAGUUGGUGGAGCGAUUUGUCUGGUUAAUUCCGAUAACGAACGAGACUCUAGCCUAUUAAAUAGGUACGUGGGUUCUCUGCACCUUGCACCCUUCUCAGAGAGACAAGCAGCUCCUAGCCGCAUGAAACAGAGCAAUAGCAGGUCUGUGAUGCUCUUAUAU